GACGAACGCUGGCGGCGUGCCUAAUACAUGCAAGUCGAGCGCAGGAAACUGACGGAACUCUUCGGAGGGAAGGCAGUGGAAUGAGCGGCGGACGGGUGAGUAACACGUAAGGAACCUGCCUCAAGGAUUGGGAUAACUCCGAGAAAUCGGAGCUAAUACCGGAUAGUUCAACGGACCGCAUGGUCCGCUGAUGAAAGGCGCUUCGGCGUCACCUUGAGAUGGCCUUGCGGUGCAUUAGCUAGUUGGUGGGGUAACGGCCCACCAAGGCGACGAUGCAUAGCCGACCUGGGAGGGUGAUCGGCCACACGGGGACCGAGACACGGCCCAGACUCCUACGGGAGGCAGCAGUAGGGAAUCUUCCACAAUGGACGAAAGUCUGAUGGAGCAACGCCGCGUGAGUGAUGAAGGUUUUCGGAUCGUAAAACUCUGUUGUAAGGGAAGAACACGUACGAGAGGGAAUGCUCGUACCUUGACGGUACCUUACGAGAAAGCCACGGCUAACUACGUGCCAGCCGCCGCCGUAA
rnacentral:rRNA from 1 species